UACGAAGGUCCCGAGCGUUGUUCGGAAUCACUGGGCGUAAAGGGAGCGUAGGCGGCGCGGUAAGUCAGAUGUGAAAUCCCGGGGCUCAACCCCGGAACUGCAUCCGAUACUGCCGUGCUAGAGUGAUGGAGAGGUAGCUGGAAUUCACGGUGUAGCAGUGAAAUGCGUAGAUAUCGUGAGGAACACUCGUGGCGAAAGCGAGCUACUGGACAUUUACUGACGCUGAGGCUCGAAGGCUAGGGUAGCGAAAGGG
rnacentral:rRNA from 1 species